rnacentral:rRNA from 1 species
UACGUAGGGGGCAAGCGUUAUCCGGAUUUACUGGGUGUAAAGGGAGCGUAGACGGUGAUGCAAGUCAGAAGUGAAAGCCCGGGGCUCAACUCCGGGACUGCUUUUGAAACUGUGUGACUGGAGUGCAGGAGAGGUAAGCGGAAUUCCUGGUGUAGCGGUGAAAUGCGUAGAUAUCAGGAGGAACACCAGUGGCGAAGGCGGCUUACUGGACUGUAACUGACGUUGAGGCUCGAAAGCGUGGGGAGCAAACAGG